CCUAUAGCACUUCUUAGUGUGUUUUUGUCAAUCGCAGUCGUCUCCUCACCUAGUACUACUUCUUUAUUCUGGUCAUUUUCUCCCUUUUGGGGGUAGAAUUU
rnacentral:ribozyme from 1 species